ensembl:snRNA U6 U6 spliceosomal RNA
GUCCUAGCUUUGGUAGUGCAUAUACUGAAAUUGGCAUGAUACAGAGAAGAUUAGCAUGGCCCCUGCUCAAGGAUUACACACAAAUUCAUGAAGUGUACCAUAUUUUU